GCCGAUUUCCCAGAUUUCGAGGUUAAGCAUUCUUUUCUCACCCUCGUUCUCCCGGUCAAUUUCGAUUCUCUAGUUCUCGUUUCUUUCCUUGUUCGUCGUUCGAUUGAUUUUACUUGAAACUUCCCUAUAUUUAGUUAGAAAAAUACAUACAGAACAUUUACAUGUUUUUUUAUAUUUUCUCACUUAUUAGAAUAAUUCAUACAAAAUAUUUAUAUGUAAUAUCUCUACAUUGUCCCAAUUUAUUAAAAACAUUUGUACAGAAUAUUUAUAUAUAAUAUUACGAUCUCGUUAUCUUAUAUGUUUUCUUUUGCAAAAUUUAAGAACAUAAUACUAUUCAUUUCGAAAAAUUUUAUUCUUUUAAGGCUGAUAAUUUUGAUUAGUUUUAUUCUAUAGUUUCUUAGAUAAUUUUAAUUGAAGAUUAGAGAUUUUAGCAUCCGUUUGUAGCUAACUAUAGAGAAAACUAAUCCAGUAAGUGAAUUGCCCUUCAUGUUAGCAAUGAGAUAAGUGACUUCCAAUUGCAAUUACGAAAAUUUGAGGGAUUAUAACAAGUAUUUAAUCUACUAGAGAAUAUUUGAGCAUAAUAAUAAUACUAAAUAUAAAUCGACUUAAUUUGAUUUAAAUAAUUCUUUUUUAUUGAUGGAGUAUUACGGUAAUUUUGUAUGUAAACAUAUAUUACAAAAAAUAACUAGUUUCAAUGUGACUAUGUGAUGAAACCUGUAUAUGAAUAAUUUCGUAAGACUUGUUUAUUCCUUAUAUUCGUAAUUCUAAUAAUAGAUUUUUCGCUUAUGUAAUUUCUGAAAAGUGAUACUAAUCCCGCCUGCGGUUUUAUGAAACUUUCAUUCGAUGAAUAUUCUUUUUAAGUUGUCCCCAAUAAGAUCCUUUUACUUUACAGAUAUUGUUAUGUCGUAUCGCGUAUCAGAAGAUUUCAUUUGAAAUACUUUAUCAAACAUAAUAUAUCGAUAAAGUAUUUAUCAUUACAUUUCUUAUAUUGCAAAUCAAUGUUAUCCUAACUAAUUUCUUACAAUUGCAUUUGUUUUCAAUAAUUCGUAUAUUUUAUAAUAAUUUAUUAUCAGAGAACAGUCAUAUAUUCUGUGACGAUGUUCUGAAAGUUCCUCUCGAGUUUUUAUACCUGAAUCAUUCUUCCGAUCUUAGAUUAGAAGGUAGGGGUGGUUUUCGUUGGAGGAUACGUCCCUGUGGCCCACGUGAAAAGUACAGUCAGUCACGAAAGUCCUCCUACAUUCCUUAAAUUUUGAAUAUUAUAACAAAGAUUUUAUCUCUAGCAAUUCUUUGGAUUAAUUGAGUUUUAUUUACAAAUUAACGAAAAUCAUAAUAUCGAAUAAAUUCUAUGUCAUUUUGUAUCAUAUGUAGAUGUAAACUCUGUAAAAAAGGUACGUUUUUAAUCUCUUUUAAUAAAUGGGAUACAUAUACAAAAUGGAAUGUAGACUUUUAUACCUGACUGUAUAUACACAAUACUGUUUCGUUAAGGCUAACUGGCAAGUUAUCGAGGGAUGUAUGUUUCUAGCAAAUAUCGAGUAUCUCUCUUCUUCAGUGAAUGACACUGACAUACCGACACCUGACACAUUUGUUUAUUGUACUCACAUACGGCAGACGUAACACCAGAUAUCUCAAGAAGUGGUAGGGAUAGAAAUGGCCACCUAACGAAGCAAAAUUCUAUCCACUUAACGAGACACUACUGUUAUACACGCGGGAUGGGAGAGCAUUAGUAGUAAGAUCAGACAGUUCAACGUGGAUUCUCGGUCGUAGCAGGAACUCUUCGUAUUACGCGGCAUACAGGAUAUUUCUAUAAAAAAAUUCUUUCUUAUUUGCAACAAAUAAUUUUCUAAAUAUAUAUUAAUGAAAUUUUAGUAACUUUAUUAAUGCAAAUAGUAAAUACAAUUAUUAAACUAUGUUUGCGCUAGUGACUGGUGAAUGUGUAGAUGAAUCUUGACAUAAAUGUGAAGUUUUGUGAUUUUUGUGAUGCUGGAUUUUUUAUAGAGAUAAGAUAGAUUUCUUCUUUUAUUCUAUUGUCUUUAAUUGUAAUGGUUACAUUAUCAUUGCACAAGCUAUUAAUGACAUAGGGAGAAAAAGGAAAAAGGUUCACAGUUUGCUAUGUACAUUAUUUGGUGUUCUUUUAAAUAUUGUAACAAUUCAAUUGUGUAGGAUUUAAAAAUAGUUGUUUUCCCUAGUUAUUUUUGUCACUUACAUAAAUGAAGUGGUUUUAAUUAAAUUCUGCCUUUUCCUUAUUCCUUACUCUUCAGCUUUAUUGUUAGAGUUUGAUGAAAUAAUGUAUUAAAACGAUUAAUUAAUUUAUACAGUAAUACAGAAAUUAUAUUUAUAAUGAACUCUUUUUCCAUUUAACGAACAAUAGUGAUUCGAAUAUCGAGAUAACUAUCGAUGUUAUCGAAUUAUCCGCGAAUAAAUGUUACAUCUUGCAAAUCAAGUAUGUAAUGUUAUCGUAUAUGAAGGUGAUUUUUUAUCUUUUUGUUCAAUGAAAUCUUAAUAGUAAAUGAAAAUUUAUUGUCGAAUAGUUCAACAAUUUUGAUUAUAAAAUUUCUAAUUUCAUACUUUGCAUGUGAAAGCCACCGUGUUUCACAUAAACGUGAAUGCAUAAACCGGAGCUCGGCCGUUUUAUUCUAAGCAAAUAUAUUUCAAUGGACAAUGCAUGUAGUUAAUCAAUAAAAGCUGCUGUCAUAUAAUUAGUCUUGAUUAGCUACAGGAAUUUAUUUGCAGUAGUGUCUCCAUUUUUUCGUUCUCGAAGUAACAAUUACGCGGCUUUUAUUCUCCUAACAAUAAUU